GAUGAACGCUGGCGGCGUGCCUAAUACAUGCAAGUCGAGCGAACAGACGAGGAGCUUGCUCCUCUGACGUUAGCGGCGGACGGGUGAGUAACACGUGGAUAACCUACCUAUAAGACUGGGAUAACUUCGGGAAACCGGAGCUAAUACCGGAUAAUAUAUUGAACCGCAUGGUUCAAUAGUGAAAGACGGUUUUGCUGACACUUAUAGAUGGAUCCGCGCCGCAUUAGCUAGUUGGUAAGGUAACGGCUUACCAAGGCAACGAUACGUAGCCGACCUGAGAGGGUGAUCGGCCACACUAGAACUGAGACACGGUCCAGACUCCUACGGGAGGCAGCAGUAGGGAAUCUUCCGCAAUGGGCGAAAGCCUGACGGAGCAACGCCGCGUGAGUGAUGAAGGUCUUCGGGUCGUAAAACUCUGUUAUUAGGGAAGAACAAAUGUGUAAGUAACUAUGCACGUCUUGACGGUACCUAAUCAGAAAGCCACGGCUAACUACGUG
rnacentral:rRNA from 1 species